CUUGACAUCCAGCGAACUUGGCAGAGAUGCCUUGUGCCUUCGGGAACGCUGAGACAGGUGCUGCAUGGCUGUCGUCAGCUCGUGUUGUGAAAUGUUGGGUUAAGUCCGCAACGAGCGCAACCCUUAUCCUUUGUUGCCAGCGAUUCGGUCGGGAACUCAAAGGAGACUGCCGGUGAUAAACCGGAGGAAGGUGGGGAUGACGUCAAGUCAUCAUGGCCCUUACGAGUAGGGCUACACACGUGCUACAAUGGCGCAUACAAAGAGAAGCGACCUCGCGAGAGCAAGCGGACCUCAUAAAGUGCGUCGUAGUCCGGAUCGGAGUCUGCAACUCGACUCCGUGAAGUCGGAAUCGCUAGUAAUCGUGGAUCAGAAUGCCACGGUGAAUACGUUCCCGGGCCUUGUACACACCGCCCGUCACACCAUGGGAGUGGGUUGCAAAAGAAGUAGGUAGCUUAACCUUCGGGAGGGCGCUUACCACUUUGUGAUUCAUGACUGGGGUGAAGUCGUAACAAGGUAGGCGUAGACGU
rnacentral:rRNA from 1 species